rnacentral:rRNA from 1 species
CUCAGGACGAACGCUGGCGGCGUGCCUAAUACAUGCAAGUAGAACGCACAGUUUAUACCGUAGCUUGCUACACCAUAGACUGUGAGUUGCGAACGGGUGAGUAACGCGUAGGUAACCUGCCUGGUAGCGGGGGAUAACUAUUGGAAACGAUAGCUAAUACCGCAUAAUAUUAAUUAUUGCAUGAUAAUUGAUUAAAAGGUGCAAUUGCACCACUACCAGAUGGACCUGCGUUGUAUUAGCUAGUAGGUGAGGUAACGGCUCACCUAGGCGACGAUACAUAGCCGACCUGAGAGGGUGAUCGGCCACACUGGGACUGAGACACGGCCCAGACUCCUACGGGAGGCAGCAGUAGGGAAUCUUCGGCAAUGGACGAAAGUCUGACCGAGCAACGCCGCGUGAGUGAAGAAGGUUUUCGGAUCGUAAAGCUCUGUUGUAAGAGAAGAACGGGUGUGAGAGUGGAAAGUUCACACUGUGACGGUAUCUUACCAGAAAGGGACGGCUAACUACGUGCCAGCAGCCGCGGUAAUACGUAGGUCCCGAGCGUUGUCCGGAUUUAUUGGGCGUAAAGCGAGCGCAGGCGGUUAGAUAAGUCUGAAGUUAAAGGCUGUGGCUUAACCAUAGUACGCUUUGGAAACUGUUUAACUUGAGUGCAGAAGGGGAGAGUGGAAUUCCAUGUGUAGCGGUGAAAUGCGUAGAUAUAUGGAGGAACACCGGUGGCGAAAGCGGCUCUCUGGUCUGUAACUGACGCUGAGGCUCGAAAGCGUGGGGAGCGAACAGGAUUAGAUACC